UACAGAGGGUGCAAGCGUUAAUCGGAAUUACUGGGCGUAAAGCGUGCGUAGGUGGUUUGUUAAGUCAGGUGUGAAAUCCUCGGGCUCAACCCGGGAACUGCGCUUGAUACUGAUAGACUCGAGUGUGGUAGAGGAUAGUGGAAUUCCCGGUGUAGCGGUGAAAUGCGUAGAUAUCGGGAGGAACAUCAGUGGCGAAGGCGGCUAUCUGGACCAACACUGACACUGAGGUACGAAAGCGUGGGUAGCAAACAGG
rnacentral:rRNA from 1 species